rnacentral:rRNA from 1 species
GCAGCCACUCAUUCAAAGAGUGCGUAAUAGCUCACUGGUCGAGUGAUCCUGCGCCGAAGAUUUCCGGGGCUAAAACUUACUACCGAAGCUACGGCAUCAGUAAUGAUGGGUAGGGGAGCUUCCCAUACGGGUUGAAGCAUGACCGUAAGGCCAUGUGGACAGUAUGGGAGUGAGAAUGUUGGCAUGAGUAGCGAGAUGUGGGUGAGAAUCCCACAGGCCGUAAACCCAAGGUUUCCAGGGGAAGGUUCGUCCGCCCUGGGUUAGUCGGGACCUAAGCUGAGGCCGAAAGGCAUAGGUGAUGGACAACAGGUUGAUAUUCCUGUACUACCGAUAACCGUUUGAGAGAUGGGAUGACACAGUAGGAUAAGCUAAGCACACUGUUGGUUAUGUGUGCCCAAGCAUUGAGGCAGUCAAAGUAGGUAAAUCCGCUUUGAUAAUGCUGGGAUGUGAUGGGGAGCGAAAUUUAGUAGCGAAGUAGCUGAUUUCACACUGUCAAGAAAAGUCUCUAUCGAGGUUAAAGGUACCCGUACCGCAAACCGACACAGGUGGGUGAGGAGAGUAUCCUAAGGCCAGCGAGAGAACUGUUGUUAAGGAACUCGGCAAAAUGACCCCGUAACUUAGGGAUAAGGGGUGCCACCAUCAGGUGGCCGCAGAGAAUAGGCCCAAGCGACUGUUUACCAAAAACAUAGGUUUCUGCUAAGUCGCAAGACGAUGUAUAGGAGCUGACGCCUGCCCGGUGCUGGAAGGUUAAGGGGAUCUGUUAGAGCAAUCGAAGCAGUGAACUUAAGCC